rnacentral:rRNA from 1 species
AUUAAUACCCGGGUAGUCCCGGCUGUAAACGAUGCGGGCUAGGUGUUGGGCGGGCUUUGAGCCCGCCCAGUGCCGCAGGGAAGCCGUUAAGCCCGCCGCCUGGGGAGUACGGCCGCAAGGCUGAAACUUAAAGGAAUUGGCGGGGGAGCACCACAAGGGGUGGAGCCUGCGGCUUAAUUGGAGUCAACGCCGGGAAUCUUACCGGGGGCGACAGCAGGAUGACGGCCAGGCUAACGACCUUGCCCGACACGCUGAGAGGAGGUGCAUGGCCGUCGCCAGCUCGUGCCGUGAGGCGUCCGGUUAAGUCCGGCAACGAGCGAGAUCCCCACCCCCAGUUGCUAUCCCGGUCUCCGGAUCGGGAGCACACUGGGGAGACUGCCGCCGAUAAGGCGGAGGAAGGAGGGGGCCACGGCAGGUCAGCAUGCCCCGAAUCCCCCGGGCUGCACGCGGGCUACAAUGGCGGGGACAGCGGGUGCCGACCCCGAAAGGGGGAGGCAAUCCCUGAAACCCCGCUGUGGUUGGGAUCGAGGGCUGAAAUUCGCCCUCGUGAACGUGGAAUCCCUAGUAACCGCGCGUCAACAUCGCGCGGUGAUACGUCCUGCUCCUGCACACACCGCCCGUAA